UACGGGGGGGCAAGCGUUGUUCGGAAUUACUGGGCGUAAAGGGCUCGUAGGCGGCCAACUAAGUCGGAUGUGAAAUCCCCAGGCUUAACCUGGGAACUGCAUCCGAUACUGGAUGGCUUGAAUUCGGGAGAGGGAUGCAGAAUUCCAGGUGUAGCGGUGAAAUGCGUAGAGAUCGGGCGGAACACCCGGUGGCGAAGGCGGCCAACUGGGCUGACCCUGACGGCUGAGGUACGAAGGCGUGGGGAGCAAACAGG
rnacentral:rRNA from 1 species